rnacentral:lncRNA from 1 species
AAAUUUUACUCUGGCCACCUCUCUAGUUUUCAACUAAACACUAACCUCCCCUCCAUAUAACACCGUUAGCUCCAAGUUAAACAACCCUCUCAAAAAUUCACCAUUUUCACUUACUCAACAACAUUGUCAUGUUUCCUCCGUAGAUGCCUUUCUCCAAAAACAACCAUUCAUAAAUCUUCUUCCUCUGUUUCAUCUUCACCAUCGACAAAACCGUCAUCUAAAUCAGAACUUAAUCAAGUGGGUAAAUUGGAUAGUAACUACAAGAAUAACCAAAUAUGAACUGAAUAUGAGACAGAAUCGUCAAGAGAAACGCCAAGUUAGAAGAAAUGGGAGGAGAGAUAGCACAAAAAUUGGGGAAAAUUUCUGAUUGGUGUCAAAUGAAUUUGAAUUACUCAAAUGAUUUUCAAUUGAAUUG